GACGAACGCUGGCGGCGUGCUUAACACAUGCAAGUCGAACGGAGUCGCGAACGGGCGUGUAACACGUUGGUGACCUGCCCUGCUCUUCGGGAUAAGCCUGGGAAACUCGGUCUAAUACCGGAUAGUGUGGGAUGGGCCCGCGGCCGAUGAGCAUUGUGGUGGGGUAAUGGCCUACCAAGGCGGCGACGGGUACACGGCCUGAGAGGGUGGACGGCCACAUUGGGACUGGGACACGGGCCAGAGUCCUACGGGAGGCAGGAGUGGGGAAUAUAGCACGAUGGGGUGAAGUCUGAUGCAGCGACGCCGCGUGGGGGAUGGCGGCCUUCGGGUUGUAAGCGCCUUUCACCGUCGACGCGGUAGAUGGAGAAGAAGCACCGGCUAACUACGUGCCAGCAGCCGCGGUAAUAC
rnacentral:rRNA from 1 species